rnacentral:rRNA from 1 species
CGUAGGGGGCGAGCGUUGUCCGGAAUCAUUGGGCGUAAAGCGCGUGUAGGCGGCUUGGUAAGUCCGGUGUGAAAACUUGGGGCUCAACCCCAAGCCUGCACUGGAUACUGCCUCGCUUGAGUCCGGGAGGGGAGAGCGGAAUUCCUAGUGUAGCGGUGAAAUGCGCAGAUAUUAGGAAGAACACCGGUGGCGAAGGCGGCUCUCUGGAACGGUACUGACGCUGAGACGCGAAAGCGUGGGGAGCGAACAGGAUUAGAUACCCUGGUAGUCCACGCCGUAAACGAUGGGCACUAGAUGUGGGCGGUGUCGACUCCGUCCGUGUCGCAGCUAACGCAUUAAGUGCCCCGCCUGGGGAGUACGGCCGCAAGGCUA